AUGAAAAGAAGAAACUCACAUCCUGAGAAGAGGGGACAGCAUUAGUGUUAGCAUCAACAUCAUUUCCUUGCUUCCUCUUUUCUGAGGAUUCACUGUCAUCAAAAAUUUUCUGUGCUAUUUCAUCAGUAUCAACCCCUUCUUCUAUUCUGGUUUCACAGGUAUCAACAUCAGCAUUUCCUUGCUUCCUCUUUUCUGGGGAUUCACUGUCAUCAAAAUUUUUCUGUGCUAUUUCAUCAGUAUCAACCCCUUCUUCUAUUCUGGUUUCACAGGUAUCCAUAUUCUCUUUAGCUUCUUCAUGCCCAUCAGAGUCCCUCGGCUGAUUUGAAGAUGGAGAAUGUGAUGGUGCCUCCUGUGUUUCACUGGCUUCAAACAUUACCUCUAAACGUGAAAAAUCUCUGGCCAAACUGGAGGUCACAU
rnacentral:lncRNA from 1 species